rnacentral:rRNA from 1 species
CGCGCAGGUGGUUUCUUAAGUCUGAUGUGAAAGCCCACGGCUCAACCGUGGAGGGUCAUUGGAAACUGGGAGACUUGAGUGCAGAAGAGGAAAGUGGAAUUCCAUGUGUAGCGGUGAAAUGCGUAGAGAUAUGGAGGAACACCAGUGGCGAAGGCGACUUUCUGGUCUGUAACUGACACUGAGGCGCGAAAGCGUGGGGAGCAAACAGGAUUAGAUACCCUGGUAGUCCACGCCGUAAACGAUGAGUGCUAAGUGUUAGAGGGUUUCCGCCCUUUAGUGCUGAAGUUAACGCAUUAAGCACUCCGCCUGGGGAGUACGGCCGCAAGGCUGAAACUCAAAGAAAAUUGACGGA